GUCGCCCAAGGAUGAGGCCGCGACCGAUCAGGUUGUUGGUGAGGUAAUGGCUCACCAAGCCUUUUACCGGUGCGGGCCGUGAGAGCGGGAGCCCGGAGAUGGGCACUGAGACAAGGGCCCAGGCCCUACGGGGCGCAGCAGUCGCGAAAACUUUGCAAUACACGAAAGUGUGACAGGGCUAUCCCGAGUGCCAUCCGCUGAGGAAGGCUUUUACCCAGUCUAGAACGCUGGGGGAAUAAGGAGAGGGCAAGUCUGGUGUCAGCCGCCGCGGUAAUACCAGCUCUCCGAGUGGUGUGGAUGUUUAUUGGGCCUAAAGCAUCCGUAGCUGGCUAGGUCAGUCCCUUGUUAAAUCCACCGAAUUAAUCGUUGGAUUGCGGGGGAUACUGCUUGGCUAGGGGACGAGAGAGGCAGACGGUAUUUUCGGGGUAGGGGUGAAAUCCUAUAAUCCCGGGAAGACCACCAGUGGCGAAGGCUGUCUGCUAGAACGCGCCUGACGGUGAGGGAUGAAAGCUGGGGGAGCGAACCGGAUUAGAUACCCGGGUAGUCCCAGCUGUAAACGAUGCAGACUAGGUGUUUGGACGGCCACGUGCCGUUCUAGUGCCGCAGGGAAGCUGUUAAGUCUGCCGCCUGGGGAGUACGAUCGCAAGAUUGAAACUUAAAGGAAUUGGCGGGGGAGCAC
rnacentral:rRNA from 1 species